rnacentral:rRNA from 1 species
UACGUAGGGGGCAAGCGUUGUCCGGAUUUAUUGGGCGUAAAGAGCGUGUAGGCGGCUUUACAGGUCCGUUGUGAAAACUCGAGGCUCAACCUCGAGACGCCGGUGGAAACCGUAAAGCUAGAGUCCGGAAGAGGAGAGUGGAAUUCCCGGUGUAGCGGUGAAAUGCGCAGAUAUCGGGAAGAACACCCGUGGCGAAGGCGGCUCUCUGGGACGGUACUGACGCUGAGACGCGAAAGCGUGGGGAGCAAACAGG